GACGAACGCUGGCGGCGUGCUUAACACAUGCAAGUCGAACGGAAAGUCCCUGCUUUUGUGGGGUGCUCUAGUGGCGAACGGGUGAGUAACACGUUAGUAACCUGCCCUUGACUUUGGGAUAACUUCAGGAAACUGGGGCUAAUACCGGAUAGGAGCUCCUGCUGCAUGGUGGGGGUGGGAAAGUUUCGGCGGUUGGGGAUGGACUCGCGUCUUAUCAGCUUGUUGGUGGGGUAGUGGAUUAGCAAGGCUUUGACGGGUAGCCGGCCUGAGAGGGUGACCGGACCAAUUGGGCCUGGGAUGCGGCACAGACUAGUCCGGGAGGCAGCAGUGGGGAAUAGUGUACAAUGGGAGGAAGCCUGAUGCAGCACAGCCGCGUGGGGGAUGACGGCCAUCGGGUUGUAAACCGCUUUCGCCUGUGACGAAGAGUGAGUGACGGUAAUGGGUAAAGAAGCACCGGCUAACUACGUG
rnacentral:rRNA from 1 species